UACGGAGGAUGCGAGCGUUAUCCGGAUUUAUUGGGUUUAAAGGGUGCGUAGGCGGAUCGUUAAGUCAGUGGUCAAAUUGAGGGGCUCAACCCCUUCCCGCCAUUGAAACUGGCGAUCUUGAGUGGAAGAGAAGUAUGCGGAAUGCGUGGUGUAGCGGUGAAAUGCAUAGAUAUCACGCAGAACCCCGAUUGCGAAGGCAGCAUGCCGGCUUCCGACUAACGCUGAAGCACGAAAGCGUGGGGAUCGAACAGG
rnacentral:rRNA from 1 species